rnacentral:lncRNA from 1 species
AUGAUGCCAGGGAGGAGCUCACUGGAGAGGAGAAGAGGAAAGGAGGGUGGGUGCAGAGAGGAUAACCCACCUCGGAAGCUGCAGAGGGGCCAGAGAAGCAAGACAGCCAUGCAGCAUGGCGGAGUUGAGGGUUCCCGAGCAUCAUUCGGCGCCCAGCAUCCCGCUACCCCGGAUCCUCCCGCGGGCGCGCACCGGGCUUAACUCAGGUAAGAGGGGCCCACCCACCACGGGCAUGGGGGUUGAGAACCAGAGACGGAGAUAAAAAGGCUUAAGACUCAGAGACACAGCCGGGGAGAAAGAGAGUCAGACACAAAGACACGCGAGAGACGCACAGAACUACAGAGACCUCACAGAGAGGGGAGUGAGACACGUCCACGGGAACAGAUGGACACACAGCGGGGAAGAAAGAGAGACGAGAGACACAAGAGACCUAGGCAUGCAGAGACUGAUCCAGAGAUACACAAAGAAAUAGACUAGGAGAGAAAGGAGACACAAGAGAGACACUCAGGACUCAGAGAUGGGGACACAUAAGAGAGACAGAUAUAAAGAGAGCUACAGAUGGGUACACACCGGAGGUGGGUAUACAGAGGCUGAGGUGCACAUCCAGGCAAGAACCAGGGACAGAGUAAGAGCCAGACACAGAGAUACACGCACCUGACCUGGUGAAACAGUCUCUCUGAGAGGUGCACCUAGGUACACAGUUUUGGAUACACAGACCCACACACGCCUGCCAGGCCUCCACAAAGUUCCCUCUGUGUGAGCUGGCACCUCUGGAGGUCUCCUGGGCUGGUUGGCUGAAGUCCUGAGAGCAGGGAGGUGCCCAGGCCACACCAAAGCUGGUCACAGUGCCCAUCCUUCAAGGCCUUGGGCUUCCUCAAUCCCACCCACUCUUACAGUUCUUCUGAGGGCUGAACGUUCAGUGGGCAGGUCCAGGCCAUGCCCACUCCGGCUUCCCCACUGUGGCCACACCCCCAUCCAGGUGCCCAGAGCCAGGUCCUGGCUCUGUGAGGUGUUUAGACCUGUUGGGAGGCCAGAGGUAUGGGAGGGGGCUCUCUUCUCCACCCUCUCCUCCUCGGCCUCAC